rnacentral:rRNA from 2 species
CAGUCGAACGAGUUCUGAUUAUUGAAAGGUGCUUGCAUCUUGAUUUAAUUUUGAACGAGUGGCGGACGGGUGAGUAACACGUGGGUAACCUGCCCUUAAGUGGGGGAUAACAUUUGGAAACAGAUGCUAAUACCGCAUAAAUCCAAGAACCGCAUGGUUCUUGGCUGAAAGAUGGCGUAAGCUAUCGCUUUUGGAUGGACCCGCGGCGUAUUAGCUAGUUGGUGAGGUAACGGCUCACCAAGGCAAUGAUACGUAGCCGAACUGAGAGGUUGAUCGGCCACAUUGGGACUGAGACACGGCCCAAACUCCUACGGGAGGCAGCAGUAGGGAAUCUUCCACAAUGGACGCAAGUCUGAUGGAGCAACGCCGCGUGAGUGAAGAAGGCUUUCGGGUCGUAAAACUCUGUUGUUGGAGAAGAAUGGUCGGCAGAGUAACUGUUGUCGGCGUGACGGUAUCCAACCAGAAAGCCACGGCUAACUACGUGCCAGCAGCCGCGGUAAUACGUAGGUGGCAAGCGUUAUCCGGAUUUAUUGGGCGUAAAGCGAGCGCAGGCGGUUUUUUAAGUCUGAUGUGAAAGCCCUCGGCUUAACCGAGGAAGUGCAUCGGAAACUGGGAAACUUGAGUGCAGAAGAGGACAGUGGAACUCCAUGUGUAGCGGUGAAAUGCGUAGAUAUAUGGAAGAACACCAGUGGCGAAGGCGGCUGUCUGGUCUGUAACUGACGCUGAGGCUCGAAAGCAUGGGUAGCGAACAGGAUUAGAUACCCUGGUAGUCCAUGCCGUAAACGAUGAAUGCUAGGUGUUGGAGGGUUUCCGCCCUUCAGUGCCGCAGCUAACGCAUUAAGCAUUCCGCCUGGGGAGUACGACCGCAAGGUUG